AAACACCUGGAAACCCAAACAGUGUCAGCAAAACACAGCGCUGUUCUCAUGCUCGUCAGCCCAUGAGAGAAGCUGACUGAAGAUUGUGGUGACUGGACCUCAAAACUGCCCCAGCACAUUUAACUUCAAGAAAGAGUCAGCUGUUUUGUCAGCAUUCUUGCAGCAGCCUGAAUUGUGCUGAAGUGGCAAAUUAAGGGAAUAAGGGGCUCAUUUACUGAUGCUGGAGAAUUCUGUCUCCUGGAGACCUGGCAAACGUGAUCAGAAGAACUCACAGGUGGUAUUGUACCAAAGGUUUGUUCAG